UGGGGAAUAUUGCACAAUGGGCGCAAGCCUGAUGCAGCCAUGCCGCGUGUGUGAAGAAGGCCUUCGGGUUGUAAAGCACUUUCAGCGGGGAGGAAGGCGAUAAGGUUAAUAACCUCAUCGAUUGACGUUACCCGCAGAAGAAGCACCGGCUAACUCCGUGCCAGCAGCCGCGGUAAUACGGAGGGUGCAAGCGUUAAUCGGAAUUACUGGGCGUAAAGCGCACGCAGGCGGUUGAUUGAGUCAGAUGUGAAAUCCCCGGGCUUAACCCGGGAAUUGCAUCUGAUACUGGUCAGCUAGAGUCUUGUAGAGGGGGGUAGAAUUCCAUGUGUAGCGGUGAAAUGCGUAGAGAUGUAGAGGAAUACCGGUGGCGAAGGCGGCCCCCUGGACAAAGACUGACGCUCAGGUGCGAAAGCGUGGGGAGCAAACAGG
rnacentral:rRNA from 1 species